rnacentral:lncRNA from 1 species
CCAUUCUAAAUUCCCAGUCACAUACCUUAUUACAUGCCAGUGGCUGGAAAACUAAAGCUCAAAUGUCCCAGAUUCUCUUACAGUUCAAGUUCCACGUAUGACCCAGCUUCCACCAAUCUGAUACAUGGAUCAAUAUUAUGAAAAAAGAAAUCAUGAGAAUAUUUCUGCUAUUUCUUUUAACAAGGUUAACUCUGAAGGUAUUUGGUUGGUCUGCAGUUCAUUCCUAGUUCUGUGGGCACUGAGAGCCAAGUGUGAGGCUUUAAUUUUCUGGCACUGGUCAGGGCUAAACAACUGUGGUCCUAGAACCAACAGUUCCUCAGUGAAUGCUAUUUCCUCAGUGUCCUGAUCCUCUAUGUCCUUCUGAGGGCCAUUUCAUAGCGCGUGGGAUGAUGA